UACGAAGGGGGCUAGCGUUGCUCGGAAUCACUGGGCGUAAAGGGUGCGUAGGCGGGUCUUUAAGUCAGGGGUGAAAUCCUGGAGCUCAACUCCAGAACUGCCUUUGAUACUGAGGAUCUUGAGUUCGGGAGAGGUGAGUGGAACUGCGAGUGUAGAGGUGAAAUUCGUAGAUAUUCGCAAGAACACCAGGGGCGAAGGCGGCUCACGGGCCCGAUACUGACGCUGAGGCACGAAAGCGUGGGGAGCAAACAGG
rnacentral:rRNA from 1 species